AACUCAUGGUGAGGGCAUCUUCUAAAAAGAUCCUUGUAUCUCUCCCAUGCAUCAUAGAGUGUUUCUGGAUCCAUCUACACAAAGGAAUAAAUGUCAUUCCUUAACUU
rfam:Gossypium arboreum cultivar AKA8401 contig_1596_7, whole genome shotgun sequence.